CUCAGUCAGUAUGCAGCCUCUUCCCCUCCCUAUGGCACUGCCCACAGUAAUACAACGGGUGGUCAUGACGGCUUCCUUUGAAGAAUACUGAGAAAUGGAUCGUUCUGCUGAGCACAAUGACAAUUUGUUAACGUAGAGACUAUUGUAACUACCCUUUCCACAUCUAUUAGGCCCCAAUUCAAAGAAAUAUUUACAUGCAUUUUUACCUGUAAGCAUAUACUUGAGUCCUAAAGCUGCAUUUAAGUGUUGUCCUAAAUAGCCUCUUACUGUUUAUUCCUAUGGAUGGAAAAAACAUCUCCCGCAUAUCCACAACAAAUAUAUAGGCAGUAACAAAACCCUUAUUCAUUCAACCUCCCCCCAACCAAUAUAAGCUUCUCAAGCUCACCACAAAUUUGCUUUAAAUACUAAAAGAAAGAAGUAGCUUUCUUCUAGUGCAGUAAGACUCUGGGUUAAGGACAACGUUAGAAAUUAAGAUUUUGGGUCUUGAACUGAGAGAGUUUUUAUUCUUUUGAACAAAUUAAGUAAAAAACAGCAGCAGCCACCUGAAACAGUCCUGGCUCUAACUGAAGUGAAAUUUGAAUGUAAAUGGUCCUCCUCCAGAACCAAAGGGGUUGAAUCCUUGCCACGUGUUCCAGUUCCUGUGGAAGGGGUUGCCCCCACCCUGCUGACUCUCUGCAUCCAGGGGGUCCUCUCCUGCGUCAAAUUUCCGCCUCAUUUCUGGGUCAGUAAGGACUUCCUUAGCAGCUGCUAUAUCAAUGAAUUUUUUCUCUGCUUUCUUCUUUUCUUCCUCGCUCUGAAAGUUGUCAGGGUGCCACUGGGACGCCAGCUUUCUGUAAGCUUUUAUGAUUUCUUGCUUUCUAGCAUUUCUUUUUACUCCUAAAAUUUUAUAGUAAUCUCUCUUCUGUGACUGCUUCAACAUCCUCUGGGCUCUUUCCAGCCCCUCUCGAAUCUGUUGGUCAUUUUCACUAUUGGCUUGAGCCGUUUCGUAGUCUUUAAUAGCUUCUUCAUAAAGGUCUUCCAGCAAAUAAGCUUCUGCUCUGUCCUUCAGGGCAUUCACAUUGGUUGGUUCCAGCUGCAGAACUUGUGUACAAACUGUUAUGGCUUCUGUAGCCUGCUGAUUCUUUGACAAACAGUGACAGAUCCUUUCUUUGGCACGAGUAGCGUAAACUGGGACAUCUGGCUCAGUUUUCAUUACAGAGUCAUAUUUACUGAUAGCAUCUUCAUAUCUGCCUUCUCUGAUGAAUUCCUCCGCUGACUCAAUCUGCUUAUUGAGUUUCUUUACUUGUUUAUAAAGGGAGAAACACUGCUUAUGGUCUUGGUCAAGCUUCAGACACUCCCGGACUUCACUGAGCGAUAAUUCAUGGUCCCCCAGCUGAUAAUAUAUUCUGCUGAUUUUAUAGAAGGCUUCGGUGUUAUCACUCUUUAAUUUGGCAGCAGCUUUCAAGUCACUAAUUGCUUUGCUUGGCUCCCCUUCCUUUAUAUAACACUCAGCUCGAAGUUCCCGUAGCUCUGCAUCCCAAACACAAACUGCCAAGAUUUCAUCAAGAAGAGGAAUUGCAGCUUCAUAAUCCUCUUGCCGGUAUGCAGACAAUGCUUGUGAAUACAGGCGCUGAAGCUCAUCAGAUUUCGUCAGCUGAGUUUGGGCUUCUUUCUCCUCAUUAUUGCUGGGAUUGGAUUUGAGCACAUUUUUAAAGUCAUCUUCUGCUUCAUCAAAUUUUCCUUGCUUGAGGAGUAGAUGGCCCCUCUGUAAUCUUGCGGAUGUGAAGUCCUGCUUUAAUUCAACCACUUUACUUAAGUCACGAAUUGCUGCUUUAGAUUUGCCCAUGGCUAAGUACACUGUGGCUCUUCUGUAAUAAGCAAUGUAGUUAUCAGAGUCUCCCUCUAUAGCUGCAUGAAAAUGAGACAGGGCAUCUGCUAGUUGUCCAGCAGCCAAUAACUUCUUCCCCAUUUCAAGCUGUUUUUCUACUUCGGCAUUUAUUCCACACUCAGCCCCCUGGUACUGCAGAUCGAGGAGCACCAGCAGGAAGGGCAACGCGGAGCCUAAGCGGCCGGCAGAGGCCGCGGCUGACACCAUCGCCGCCGACGCCCGCGGCCGCAGUGGCGGCGCCCCGGCCCGACGGCUUCGACUCGUGCGGGGAGGGUCGUG
rnacentral:lncRNA from 1 species